rnacentral:pre_miRNA from 1 species
GGAAUAUAAAAAACCGUCUUUUAAUUUUUAACUAAAAAAGUUAAGAACCGAUUCUUAAAUAAGAUAUAAGAACCGAUUUUUAACUUUUUAGUUAAAAGUUAACAGACGGUUUCUUAUAUUCA